ACGCGGGUGUGCAGUAGCUUGCCGAGAAUACCAAGUAUUUAGACGAUUCAUCAAGACUGACUGGAGAGGGGAGUCUGCUGAGCUGUGAGUGACCUGUGGAUGAGCCUUUUUUAUUUUUUUUUUUCUUCCCUGCAAUUUAUUUUAUUAUUAUUUUUUUUUUUGCCCGUUCUUUUUAUUGUGUAAGUUUCCUUUGUUCUCUGAAAACCAAUAAAUGAGACUUUAAAACUG
rnacentral:lncRNA from 1 species